UCUUUAGAAGUGAACGGUCUAAUAUCAUUCAAAACCUCCUAGCUUUUAGAACGUAUAACAUCAUGUAAAAGAUGAAUCAGUAAUUGUGUUUGGUGUCUGUUGAUGAGGGACUGUGUUCAGGUAAAUGAUGUGGAGAGUGUUUGCAUAUUGAUGAGCUGCUUCAGUGCUCUGAGAGUGUUUAUAGUGCUGUGACUUUAACACUUCAUCACCGACACACACAACAAUCUUCAUCAACAUGACCUUCAUCAUCAUCUUCAUCUGGACUCUCACAGCGUUUGCUCAAGAGUGUAGAGGACAGAUCAGCGUCACUCAGAGUCCCUCAACAACAGCAGAGAGAGCAGGAGAAACAGUCAGAAUCAGCUGCAAAACCAGUACAGAUGUGUUCAGUGACUUUUUGGGUUAUCGUUUAGCCUGGUACUUACAGAAACCUGGAGAAGCUCCUAAACUCCUGAUUUAUUGGGCUAACCAACUCAAGUCAGGAACUCCAUCUAGAUUCAGUGGUAGUGGAUCUAACAGUGAUUUCUCUCUGACCAUCAGUGGAGUCCAGACUGAAGAUGCUGGACAUUAUUACUGUCAGAGUUUUCACAGUGGUGGUGUGUUCACACAGUGAUAAAGAGUCGUACAA